GCUGGGUGUGGUGGCGUGCGCCUGUACUCCCAGCUACUCAGGAGGCUGAGGCAGGGGAAUUGCUUGAACCCAGGAGGCCGAGGUUGCAGUGAGCUGAGAUUGAGCCACUGCACUCCAGCCUGGGUGACAGAGCGAGACCCUGUUUCAA
rnacentral:SRP_RNA from 1 species